AUUGAACGCUGGCGGCAGGCUUAACACAUGCAAGUCGAGCGAGCGGCGGACGGGUGAGUAAUGUCUGGGAAACUGCCUGAUGGAGGGGGAUAACUACUGGAAACGGUAGCUAAUACCGCAUACCAUCAGAUGUGCCCAGAUGGGAUUAGCUAGUAGGUGGGGUACUGGCUCACCUAGGCGACGAUCCCUAGCUGGACUGAGAGGAUUACCAGCCACACGGGAACGGAGACACGGGCCAGACUCCUACGGGAGGCAGCAGUGGGGAAUAUUGGACAAGGGGCGCAGGCCUGAUGCAGCCAUGCUGAGCGCGUGAAGAAGGCCUUCGGGUUGUAAAGCACUUUCAGCGAGGAGGCGUUACGCGCAGAAGAAGCACCGGCUAACUCCGUGCCAGCAGCCGCGGUAAUUC
rnacentral:rRNA from 1 species